rnacentral:rRNA from 1 species
UACGGAGGGUGCAAACGUUGCUCGGAAUCAUUGGGCGUAAAGCGCACGUAGGCGGCCCGAUAAGUCGGAUGUGAAAGCCCCUGGCUCAACUGGGGAAGUGCACCCGAAACUGAGUAGCUUGAGUGCAAAAGAGGGCCGCGGAAUUCCCGGUGUAGAGGUGAAAUUCGUAGAUAUCGGGAGGAACACCGGUGGCGAAGGCGGCGGCCUGGGUUGACACUGACGCUGAGGCGCGAAAGCGUGGGGAGCAAACAGG